CCGCCAGCUCUGCGUGGGCGCAGCCUGAUGCAGCCAUGCCGCGUGUAUGAAGAAGGCCUUCGGGUUGUAAAGUACUUUCAGCGGGGAGGAAGGGAGUAAAGUUAAUACCUUUGCUCAUUGACGUUACCCGCAGAAGAAGCACCGGCUAACUCC
rnacentral:rRNA from 1 species